rnacentral:misc_RNA from 1 species
GGGGAAUAUGUUCUUGAAUUGGCGAUGUGCGAGUUUUUCUUGCAGAGGUAUCCUAGGGAGUCUCCUGGUCCAAUGAGGGAAAGGGUGUAUGCGUUGAUUGGGAAAAGGUAUAUGCCUAGGUGGAUUAAAAAUGCAAGCUUGCAGAAUUUGAUUUUCCCAUAUGAUGAUAUGGAUAAGUUGAAAAGAUUGGAUAGGGAACCGCCGGUCAAAUCUGUGUUCUGGGCUUUGUUU